AGUGAACGCUGGCGGUAGGCCUAACACAUGCAAGUCGAACGGAAGCACAGUAAGAGCUUGCUCUUACGGGUGGCGAGUGGCGGACGGGUGAGGAAUACAUCGGCAUCUACUUUUUCGUGGGGGAUAGCGUAGGGACACUUACGAUAAUACCGCAUAUGACCUACGGGUGAAAGCAGGGGAUCUUCGGACCUUGCGCGAUUGAAUGAGCCGAUGUCGGAUUAGCUAGUUGGCUGGGUAAAGGCCCACCAAGGCGACGAUCCGUAGCUGGUCUGAGAGGAUGAUCAGCCACACUGGAACUGAGACACGGUCCAGACUCCUACGGGAGGCAGCAGUGGGGAAUAUUGGACAAUGGGCGCAAGCCUGACCCAGCCAUACCGCGUGGGUGAAGAAGGCCUUCGGGUUGUAAAGCCCUUUUGUUGGGAAAGAAAAGCAGCAGGUUAAUACCCCGCUGUUCUGACGGUACCCAAAGAAUAAGCACCGGCUAACUUCGUG
rnacentral:rRNA from 1 species